AUCUUUCUAGUAUAAUUAAUAUAUUUGACUUCCAAUCAAAAGAUCUUUUUAAAUAAGGAAAGAUA
rnacentral:tRNA from 1 species